GUCGUUCUACGAACCAAAAGUAUUCUGGAACAUGGAAGAAGGAUUCAAAGAAAAUGAACAAUUCCGCCCACGAUUCCAUUUUAAAAAAAUAGAACUUGCACAUGACUGUCGAAGAAUUAAAGUACUCUUUAAACAACCAGCCAGUAACAAGAAUAAAAUAAGAGUCGAACAGCAGCAUCAUUCGUUCUACAAUUAAACAUUCUCGCACAAUAUUUCUCCAUCGUGGAAAACUGUCGAGCCCUCUUCAAACUUUUAAUUUCCCCUGUCAACCAUUAUCAAACAUCGACGAAUUAUUCAAAUUAUAAGGUGUACACUUUCACACAUACACUGUUUAGCAAAUAUCCUACAAAAACUGAUUCGUGAUCGAACCGUGCAAGCGAAAAAAAAAAAAGCAAAACAAUAAAAACAUUGUUAAAAGAAAAGAAAAAGAAAAACGAAAAAUAGAAUUCCAUUAUGGACGUGUUUGCUAAUGGAAUUUCCGUCCUGAAUAAAUUUCACUACGAGCAGUCGUACCACGUCUUUCCGCUUAACGUGGCGCUUUAAUGGAUUUUUUUAGGGGACUUCCGGUAUUAAACGAACGUCGUUAAUGGCUUCAUAUUCGGUUUUUUUCUUCUUUCGAAGAACGGAAGAAAAAGUUUAAUAUUGUAAAGUUACGUUGCACCGAAGUUUUGUGGAUUCGGCAAAUUGGUUUGAUAAAUCGUGUUGGUGGUGGGUAUCGAGUUUUCUUUUCUUUUUUUUUUUUUUAGAACGCCAAUGUCCUAAAUUUAUAAUUGUGACCCAUUACGACGUUUUCUUCUUCGUUUCACAAAUCGAUUUCGCUGUCGCUCUGAUUCUUUCGAGGAAAUGGAAUAUUUAUCAAGAUGUCCGCUGGAUAUAAUUAAGAAGUGUUAUUAAUGUUAUCAUGAGUAAAUAAAGUUAACUGCAUGCUGAAUAAGUAUCAUAGAAUCGAAACCAUCCAAGCACAUAGUUCUAGAAAUUGGUAAAAAUAAUUAAUUCGAAUUAAAUGGACAGAAAGUUAGCCGACCAUUAUUGUAUAUUUCGAUGAAAAAUAUCGAAACUUUGAAUUUUUACAAGAGGAAACGAUACAUCGAAUUAAUAAAAAGUCAAAAAAAGAACAAUUUUUUUCAAAACAUAAAAUCAAAUGAAAAACACCUCGGGGAAAAAAUAUCGAAACCUUUCCUUUAAAUUUUUCAAAAGGAGAAACAAUAUCGAAUUGAAAAAUGAAAAAAAAAAUAAAUAAAUAAAUAAAAAAAGAGAGAACGAUUCUUUUGAAUUGCAUCACAACAAAUAAAAAAAAAUACGUUGAAAACGAGACAUCGAGACGCCUCCAUUCCCCGCAGAAUGAAGCGGCAGAGAUAAAAAGAGAGGGCGGAUUGUGCGGAAAGAAAAGUUUGAGAAAGAGUAGGCCGGGUACUUAACAUCCGACGACUUGAAAACGCGCGUUUAUCUAUCCAGCCUUUGGUCGGCCGCGAGAGGUUCCUUUUAUCGCUAGGCGCGACCGGAAGUGGUGACAUCGAGGGGGCAAAGAAGGCGGAAAUGCAUAGAGACGCCAGGGGUAAGACGGCGCACACGGGGUGGUUGGCCAACUAAAGAGCCUGGAGUAUCAAGUUUUAACGAGGUGUGUUCGGAGACUUUACGACUGCGAGGUACUCGGCAGACAUAAAGAGCCGUGCACGACGAAAGCGCGUUUUUCCAUUCCACCGAGAAAAAUUGGUAGAGAGGAAAAGGUUUGAAGAAGUGUGUCGGUCAAUGGGUUACCGACCGAGUCACCGGUUAAAUGGGCUAAUGAGUAAGCAAAUGACCGAGAAAGUAAGAUGUUGAUAUUGAAGACAAGUCGCUUCAAGAAUAUGGUAAUUAAGCACGAGUGGAUGAUACGAAUUAUGUAUUGGUGAGCCAGUGAAGGAGAAUUUUUAUGAAUAAUUAUUGUCGGAGGUUAAUAAAAUGAUUGAGUUAAUGAACUAGUUGAGUUGAUAAGUUAGAGAGUGAUUAAGUGAAUGAAUUAGUAACGUAUUAAUGAUCUAAUUAUUAAGUGAGAAAAGUAAUAGGUUUUGAGUUAGUUAUUAUAGAAUGGAUAAGCUAACAAAUGAAUUGAUCUGAUAAAUAGAAAUUGAAUUGAUAGGUUACUAAAUGAGUGAAUACAUUGUUAAGCUAUUAAAUACACAAAUCAAUAAGUAACCUAGUUAUUAAAUUAACAAGUGAAUAAAUGGGUGAAUUACUGAUAUGAUAAAGCACUAGAUUAAUAAAUGGACGAUAUAACAAAUCACUUACACAAUCCAACAGAUUAAGUUUACAAGUGAGUGAAUAAAUUAAUGCACCAAGUAAAAUCACAUAAAAUAUGUAAUCAGUAUUCCGUUUCACAAAUGAAUAAGUAAACAAUUUGAUCAUAAAUAAAUAAUCGUUCAAUACAUAUUAUUGAAUCCGAUAUAACGAAGAAAUGGAAAUAAAAUAAAAAUGACUACAGCAGCGCCACUCUCGUCACGAAAAUGAAGAGUGAAAUUGUUGCGGCCGAUCGAGAGCGAAGCGAUUCGUUUCGAUUGGCGUCGUUGUUGUGCAGUAACAAAAUAAUUGCGGGAUUCUGUGAGUGCCGCGCCUCUUGUCCCAAGAUUUGUAUAAAAAUCGUUCGUUCCAGUGACGAGCACCACCGUGAUUCCAAUAGAGAGACAGUGUUCCAAAAGAGAAAAAGAGACUGUGUGAUGUUUAACCAUCGAUUGCAUUGCCUCUUUUUAUUCUCUACUCGAGUUCUAUAGACGCCACUGGCUUCUCUUGGGAUUUUAUUCGAAUAAUUCAGUACUCGUGGUCAAUAUGGAACGUGAAACUAAUUAACGUAACGAACGAGAUAGAUAAUCCGCACAUCGCGUGUAUUACGAUAAUCAUCCAGGAUAAAUUUUUCUUGCAUGUAUUUGUGAACAAGUUUUGCACAUUGGUAACGAUAAAUAAUAGGCUAGGAAAAUAUGAUUUCAAAAAGACUUCAAUAAGAGUAAAUAAUGAAAAUUCUCGAUAUUCUCGAUUUCAAUCUGUAUAAUCUUUUUUUAUAACCUCCAAAAGUAUUGAUGGCUUCGGUUAACCUAAGUAUCCUAGUGAAUUCUAAUAUUCAAUACUUUAGGCUUAUUCAAAAAAUUUAAAAGUAUAUUAGAAUAAGCAGAUAAUUUUAUUAAAAAUUUUUCAAUGUUUAAACAAUUUAACAUAAAAAAGAAAGUAGAGUCGUAAAAAUUAAUCAAUUAUUAAAUUUUGUUUUUCGAUAUUGUGUGAUCAUUAAAGAAAAUUUUAUAAAUUAAACAUCAGAAUUCCAACUGAGAUCCAAUAGAGACCUUUUCUUUAUGGAUUUGUUAAAAUUUAACACUCUACUCUACUAAAAAUCUGCAAUAUAUCGUAUAAUUUUUUUUUUGUACAUUCUUCGAAAAAUAAUCUUUCAAAUAUUCUCGUGCAUUUAUGAGGCGAUUAAAAAUCAUUCCACGCGAUCGUUUCGAGUGAAAUUAAUAGUAAUAAUUGCCAGAUGGGACGAGAUGGACACGGAUGAAUAAAAGAUGAAAUUAAAGCGGACGAACAAGCUGGUGGGCAAAUUUCGACUGGAAAAUUUUACCCUUUUCUAUCCCUCUCUAUUUAUUAGCACACGGUUCAACGAUAUCUUCGAGUGGUCAUAAAUCUUCGAGUAGUUGCCUGUUACCAAGAUAAUGAAGGAAAUGAGAGGAAUUUUCAGCGAACGAGAAACGAUAUAUACCGCGGAACUUGUUUGCAUUUUUCGUGGAAACCAUGUAAAAAAAAA